AAUAAGUACAGUUUUAAACUAUUCAAGUCCAACGUUUGACCAUUCGUUUUAUUUAAAUUUUUUUUUAUGAUUAGUAUUUUUAUUGUUAUUAGAUGAUAAAAUAUGAAUAGUAUUUUUUGUGUGACUAAAUUAUUUUUUUUAUUUUUAUAAAUUUUUCAUAUAAGACGGAUGGUCAAACAUUGGACAUGGAUAUCUACAGUGCACUUAUU
rfam:Oryza meridionalis cultivar OR44 (W2112) chromosome 9, whole genome shotgun sequence.